GCGUACUGCGUGACUGGUCUCCGCUACCGUCUUCCUCUUUCAUUUAUCGUGUUAGGGUUUUCAGAUAUCAGGAUUGUUCUCCUUCCCUCAAAUUCAGCGAAUUAGCUUUUUCAGAGUUCAGAAUUGUUAUCGUCCUUCAUAUAACUGCGUUUUCAAACCGACAUUUGUCCGUACCCAAGAUUCUUACGAAGAUCGAAAUUCUUCCGCGUUUUCGCUUUGGCUAAGGUUCAACGCGGACAACUACGUAUGGCUUCUUCCUCAAUAAUCACUCCUGAAGAUGUGUUGGAGUCGCUGAUGAACGACGGCUCAAUUGAUGCCCUCAGAUUGAAGAUCAUCAACCAGCUCAAAGCCAAUGAGGAAUUGAAGAGUACCACUAUAAAGAUGGCUGAGCAGAGUAAGGUUCUUAACACCCCCGGUGCUGAAAAACAGACUAAAAGAGAGCUCUUUGAUGCUCUUCGGCAAGAACUUGAAGCUUCUGUACUCGAAAAAGCCUCAAAAUCAGUUUGGGAUUUAAUUGUAGACAAUAAUGGCCUGGGAAAGGAGAUAAGUGAAACUGUUGAGCGAGUGUUUUGUCGACUGAGUGGCCAGGAGCCUCCAUUGUUUCCACUUCCUAAUGGUGAGCCGCAAUCUGAAAAGGAGGCUGGCAACAGAAAAGAAAAAGGCAAGGGAAAGCAGAAGGAAACUGAAAGCAUAAAUACAAAUACUCCAUCAAAGAAAAGGAGCUUCAGUGAAAUAAAUUUGGAAGGACCGGAUGAAACUUCAACCAGGUUCUCUGAUCCCGCGGCAGUAUUGGAAGGUUCUGGCAAAUCACCUGUAUCAAUUUCGAAGACUUGAGUUGCAAAUUCGACAAUCCUUUUGUAACUGCAUUGAUCAAAUCUGCAUUCUUUUUGCUUUUGGAGCGCGGGAUGGGGAUGGGGAUGCCUACAACUACAAGCUCCGCGGGAUGCCUACAACUACAAGCUCUGCAAUUGCUUUCGCAAGAUUCUCGCGUGACAUUGGUUGGUACUAUGGUACAGAUGCAAAUAUUUUGGAAUACCCCUAGGGGUCUUUAGGAACGAAGGAAUUAUUCAUUUUUGAGUCUUUACAAAUGAACGAAGGAUUGUGUAUUUUUGCACAAGAGCAAGAUAUAAUGCAGGUGAGGGUUUGUAAUAGUGAUAUAGUCCGGAAAUGUAUAGAUAGGGAAAGCUAUUUAUAUAUAGAUUCUUUUGUAUUGCAUAAAGUUCCUAUUCUUUUGAUUAAGUAUUAUGUUUUGAAAA